GCAGCCCAAGUGACUGGAACGAUUUGCUGUUGCAGGCGUAAGCAUGAACAUAACAGCGCCUUUAGUUCCAAGCAAUUAAGCAGUAAUGUGCAGAGCGGCCGCCCAGCAUCCGUCUGCGUCUCCAUCUCGAGCCUGUCUUUAGCCUCCAGCACACGCCACUUGUGAUCGUGCAUCCCGCCUGAAGCACCAGGUGCAGUCCUCAAGAGAUGCCUCCAUCCCCACAACCUCCUUCCUCCCAACACCACUGCGACCUCACUCAGAAUGCAUGAAGAGGAGGAGAAAGAAGAAGAAGACGGAGAAGAAAUAAAUAAAGGCGAAAUGAGCCCCAGAACCGGGAGGAGAGGAGGAGAAGGAGAGAAAGGAGACGGAGAGGAGCAUUGUGGGCCCCUUUGCUCCGGUCUCGACCACGGGUAUUCUUGGGUUGAUAAUACAGAUGUGGAUGUUAUUGCUUGAGAAUACGCGUAGUCGAGUGGAGGCUUCAUCAUCUACAGUCGACCCAAAAGCAGAGCUCCAACCAGUAGAGUAUACCGAGGCGUGACACCAGGCACAUACGUGUGAAUGUAGCGAGCUGAGCUAGUGAUAGCGACACAGGGUGGUUUUUAAUGAAGCACCCAGAGGUGACUUUUUCUGGGCUUUAUUUUGUUCAAUCAGAAAUGGUUUUGUUAUUUUAAAAUGGAAUUCACGGCUACAGCCAAAUCCAAUUGGAUUGCCAGCAGCUGAAGAGUUGGGUUUUUUCUCUCUCUCUCUCACUCUGCUGGGUUUAUCAACCAUGUCCCUCUCUCACACCUGUGGAAUAAAUGAGUUGGUCUCGCUGGCCAGGUUUAGCCUUCCCUACUCGGCAGUGCUGCUGGAGAUGACUCGCACCUUGCAUUUAAGCUAACCCCCCUCCCCACCCCCCGUCCUGGGGGCAUUAGUUUCGGGGAGCUUAAACCCAAAGUCCCCAUACUCAGACUUUAAUUCCAAACCCUACUUGAUUACAUUACCCUUGUCGGUCCGUGGUGCUUACAAGUGAGCCUAUAAUCUUAUCAGCUGAUGAGUGUAUCUCACCGCCUGUCACACGCCCUGCAACAAACGUUUUCCCUCGCGCUGAGCGGAAAUGUGCAAAAUGAAUAUAAAUUAAAUUGGCUCCUCGGACGCAAGCGGGACGGUACAACGUGAGCGUAACCUCCCAUCUCAUCUGACUCCCCUGGCUCGUGCUAUAGGAGCGUGUGAGAGUUUGAUGCCUGAAUCGGCAACAGGCGACAUAACACAUGAGUACAUGUCAAGACUCGCACCCCUGGCUGACAUCUCAGCUGACUGGCUGUAUAUAAUUGGCAGGAGGGGAUUACAUGAUCUAUGCCAGAGGGGAAAUUAUGGGGUCGAUGGAUCUUACAAAAGCAAUACAGACUACCCCCAUAUGUUUGAAUACACACAAACACACACCGGGCGCAGCUGGGUUCACCGGGUCCAGUGUGCCAGUGGGGAAAUAAGGGAUUGAUUGACUUUAUGGGUGACUAUUUUUAGUCAGAGUGAUGGAUGUUUAUGUCUUUUAUUGAUCGAGUCGAGCUGUGGGUCUGAGGCGUUGUUGGACGUCGUGGUGUGCUGAUUGAUCAGGUGUUGGAAUAAAACAGCCCCGGUUUACAUUUUUGGUGCAUUAGCAUUAUUGCAAAAGUUAUAAAUUAGAAAAUCAACAUUUCAUUGCAAAUUCAGCAAUAUAUUAGCAUUCGUUUGCAAAUGUGCCCGUGAUGAAUUGCAGUCCUCUCAUGCGCCACUCCGUGAUUUCUUACUACUGCGUAAGCAAAUCGGGUAUUUAUUAGCGUGGUGUGUAAUUCUAAUAUAUACCAAUGUUCACCCUGACGUUGUGUAAACUUGUUAAUCCGCCAAAGCCAUUUCUGUGUUUUGUGUGUGUUUGCGUGUGCGCUACUAAGCAACAAAAUGACUAUUGUGAGGUCAGUUCCAGGUACCUAGCAACCAAAAUCGCUCAGUUUCCCAGGCAACCGUUGCCUCGCACUCACUGUGUGGGUGAUUGGCAGCCUUGACAACGGAGAAGGGAGUGACACUUGACCUCGCGUGCUGAAUGGGAGAGGAGAAAGAGGGA
ensembl:lncRNA